CGCUUUUUUUUUUUUUAUAACUUUUUAUUUUGAGACAGGGUCUUGCUAAGAUACUGAGGCUGGCCUUGAACUUGCAAUCCUCUUGCCUCAGCCUCCUGAGCUGAGGAUUACAGAUGUGGCUGGUCUUCUUCAGGUGUGGGUCAGAGAGUGGAUGGGGGUCCUGGUCCCACCCCAGGAAGGUAGGCAACAGGUCCUGGCUCCCACUGCCCUGGCUCCCAAGGACGCCUGAGUGAGGAUCUAGCUGGAGGAAGGCAGGGUUUGCAGCCCGUCAGAGAGACGUCUGAAAUGGCCCAGGGCAACUUCUUCAGCCUCCAAGAGCGUGGUGUCCACCUCUGCAGCUGGGCACCUAGCUGCAGCGCUGGUGGCUGUGAGGAUCUACUGCUGGAACUUGAGAAAAGUGCCCGUCAGCCAGAGGUCAGGCCUGGUCACCUGCACCCCCAGCUCUCCCUCACCUGCUCUGGAGGCCCCCAGCCAGGGGCGGGUCUGCCCUGUGGCCAGGUCCCGUGGGACUAAGGAUGGCCUCGGGGAGGCAGCCUGUCUCCUGUCCCCACUGUCUUGCCCUGGCGCUCUCUGCCUUUGGGAAAAACCCUGCAGGACUUGGGGCAGUGGAGAUCUCGGGCUGACACCUGGGAGGUGACGGGUUGAGGAGAGAAAGAAAGAUUAAUCAGCACCGUAAGAAAGUCCUGGCCUGGCACUCCUUCCCAAAGCCGAGGGGUCACCCCCAGCUCAGUGACUCCACUUGCGCAUGCUCCCGCAGCUCUGAGACGCCCUAGCAGCCGCGAGUCCACACUCGCCUGAGCUGCACCCUCCGGCUGAAGCAGGAGGCGGCCCACAUGGGCGUCAGCAGUUGAGUGGGUCAACAGAAGGUGGUGGUCCGUGUAGAAGAACAUGGUUGUCUAAAAAGCAAUGCAGGCUGGGGUGUAGCUCAGCAGGAAAGCACGCGCUCAGCAGAUAGGAGGCCCUGGGUCCCAUCCCCAGGGCGGCCGGGACAGAGCAGCAGUAGGUCACAGGUUGAGACUGAAGUGGAGAGCCCACAGCCGCCUCCCAGUGAGCUCCCGGGCAGGCUCCAACAAAGAUGACCUCAUCUGUGCCUCUUUCAAAGCUUCAGAUUUUUUUUUUAGGUGGCAUAGGUAGGUACCGGGGAUUGAACCCAGGGGUGCUUAACCACUGAGCCACACCCCCAGCCCUUUAUAUAUUUUAUUUUGAGACAGGGUCUCACCGAGUUGUCUAGGGCCUUGUUAAAUUGCGGAGGCUGGCCUUGAACUUGCUAUCCUCCUACCUCAGCCUCCCAAGUGGCUGGGAUCACAGGUGGGCGCCACAUGCCCAGCUGAGAAUCCCCUAUUUUGAAGGGGUGGGGGUGCUUUGCUCUUUUCUUCCAAACAGCCUUUCAUGCAAAAUCUUUUUUACAGAAUGUAGCUCUUUGGCUGGAGCGGAAGUCACUCUCUGGGGCACUGAUUCACAGAUCUCUACCGAUACCUCUGUCAUUGCAAACUCCGGGGCCAACAGACCUUCUUGGUCCACAGAUGGCCCUGGGCCUGGGGCUGUCUCAGGUCGGGGAAUGGGGGUCCAGGGCGAAGUGUGGCUUUGUGAAGGGAAAUGGUCUUGACUUAAAAGAAAGUGAAAAGAAAAGCCGCCCCCCCCCACUUCCCCUGUGAUGCCAUCAGUAGCAGCCGGAUUUGCAUAUGGCCUCAGAGAAGUCCUUAAUAACUGGUUUCCAGGGGCUCUCACUUUACCUCCAAGUCACAUCCCCAGCCCUUUUUACUCUUUAUUUUGAGCCAGAGCCUCACCGAAAUGAUGCUGAGGCGACUUUGAACUUGCCAUCCUCCUGCCUCAGCCUCCGGAGGUGCCGGGACUCCAGCCGUGCGCCUGUGGCUGGGCCUGGUGGGUGUCACUCUUUGGUCCACAGGAUGAGUGUGCUCUGUUCCUGUGGCUGCUCCAAUCAUGGGUCUCGCCCACCAGCAAAGGGUGGUCUCUCGUUUAACUUCUGUGUCAGGAGAUUGAAAUGGUGAAAUGAAACACUUUCAAUUUAAUAAAGUGACAUCAAGGUGACUCUGGGGACUGGAGGCUAAACCAAAUGGAGAUUAAAGGAGGAAACGGGGGAGGGGGCUGGGGUACAACUCGGGGUAGGGCAUGUGCUCAGCACACACAAGCCCUGGGUUUGAUCUCCAGCAACAGAAAAAAGAAAAGAAAGAGAAAACCAGAAAACCGGAAGCUGUCGGCGGCGGCCUGGUGCCAGCCUGGCUCGAGGCCCCGGGGCGACCCCACCUCCCGGUGGACUUGCCUCCAGGAUAACUGGAAGUUUGGAAAUUGGAGUCUCAUCCCCAGGGACUGCAACCCCUCACACCUGAGGCCCAGGGGGCUGGUUUACAGCAAGAAGACCACCUGUCCAGGGUAAAAGUAUGGCCUCCCAAAAGGUCACAUUCCACGCCAGGUGCAGGGGCGCACGCCUGUAGUCCCAGUGACCCGGGAGGCUGAGGCAGGAGGAUCACAAGUUCAAAGCCAGCCUCAGCAACUUAGCAAGGCGCCGAGCAACCGAGUGAGAUCCUGUCUCAAAAUAAAAAAGUAAAAGGUCUGGGGAGGGACUCGGUGGCUAAGUGUUCCUGGGUUCGGUCCCCAGUGUCAAAAAUAGAUAGAUAGAUAGAUAGAUAGACAGAUAGAUAGAGUUAGGUGAUGUUUGAGCGCUUCUGAAUGGGCCCUUAUUUGAAAAUGGAGUCUUUGCAGAUGCGAUCAAGUUAAGUGAUUCACUUCUCCUCAGUAAUCUAUGCUGGAUCAGGGUGGAGCCUAACAGAAGAGGACAGCAGACCCGGGUGGACACCUAGCAGAAGUCAAAAGAGAGUAAGGGACAGGCUUGCCCUGGAGCCUCCAGAAGGAGACGGCCUGCCUGCAGCUAGACUCUGGACUGGCCUCCAACACUGCAAGAGAACACGUGCCUCAUCUCAGCCUGCUGCUAAGCAAAUGAGGAAAUGAUAACUCAGUCUGCACCUCUUUCAAGUGAGACCUGCGUCAUCACUGCCCGGUACCCGCCUAGGAAGUGGAACACAGGGGGAUGCCCAGCGAUCCAGGUGACAUGGACAAAGAGGAGACCAAGCCACAUCACCACCAGUGCUGUGGCCUGGUUGGCGGCUGCAGGAGGGAACUGAGAGAUGGGUGGGGUGAGUAGGGCCUUCCUGAGCACUAAGGCCAGACCAGGGCCACACAUCCCGGGGUCCAGGGACACAGAUGGCUGUGGGAGCAGAUGAGAUGGGGAUCAGGACCCACUAGCCCUGCAGCCCGGCAUCUCACCUGAGCUUGGAUCUGGGGCUGCCAGACAAGCUGGUGGUUUUAUCUUUUGUUUUUUUGGUGCUGGGGAUUGAACUCAGGGGCACUUAACCACUGAGCCACAUCCCCAGCCAUUUUUGAUAUUUUAUUUAGAGACAGGGUCUCUCUAAGUUGCUUAGGGCCUCGCUAAGUUGCUGAGGCUGGCCUUGAACUUGCGACCCUCCUGCCUCGGCCUCCUGAGUUGCUGGGAUCACAGGCGUGCGCCAUGACUUCCUGCUCAGCCCAUGGCUUUCUGACCAGGUUCAGGGACUUGGGCAGGAAAGGCUCACUCCGGCUGCUUCUUCAAGGACCACGUCCCCCAUGGUCAGGUAACCAUUUGUCUCCACUGUUCUCCUGCUGAGCCUGCCUGGUCAACCACUGGCUGCCCCAGGGGGUAACGGAUCUGUCCAGGAAUGGACACUUGGCCCAAGUGUCUAUUGACCCAGCCAAUUACUGCCCUGUCCCUGGCUCCCCCUCUGGCCAUUCUCAGGGGGCGCUGCUGAGGCCUGGUGACUUCAGGAGCUGAUCUGAGGGGUGGCCCUCCUGUCCAGGGAGCAGUGGGCAGGGUGACGGGGAGACUCAGUGCAGGUGUCCCCAGACCAGCUGGGCUGGCCCUUGGUGGUGCCCUGUCUCCCCAGCCACCUGGAGUCAGCUCUGUGGCCUGCCACUCACGGUCCUGAGGAUGCCGCCUGUGCCUGCCCACCCCUCAGCUACCUGCCUGUCAUUUCUCCAGGGGACAAGGCUGUUCUUUCUUAGCUCCCAGCAAAAUCCCCUUCUUGAGCCUGUUCUCGCUCCUGCUGGGGGUGGGUUGGGGAGGAUGUGAGGCAUGCAGGGGGACCCAGAAGCGGUCUCUUGGGGAGGCCCGUCUGCUGCCUGCAGGCCCAGGAAGCUGAAUCCAUUCCCAUGGGCGACCCCAGAGCCCUCCAGUUCCCCACCACACAGUGGCAUUCUGUGAGUUUGCCCGCCCAGGGCCAGUCUCCCCGCAGCAGAAGGCCCUACCACCGCCUCCUGUCUCUCUCACAUCCUGUUCCGGGAAGGGCCCCAGCAGGCUGCCUGGCCUGAGGGACGAGGAGGCCACAGAGACGGGAGAGCCCUCAGUGCUGCGGGACAGUCCAGGAACGGCCAAGGUGGAAGGCGCUGGGACUCCUGCCCGAGGAGCCCCGGGCUGGCUUACUGCCGCAUCCCCCGGGGGUCUCUCCCUCGUGGGCUACUGGCAGAGUGGGGUCCUCCUUUCACAACCCGUUGGCUCCCCGUCCUCUACAGAAAGUCACUCGGGCCCUGUGGACCCCACUCCCAGCCCCCUGCAGGGCUCCAACACCAGGCUUUGCUCUGUCCUCCUCAUCUCCGCCAACCUCCCUUUUCCGAGGCUCCACCGUCACCUCCUUCAUGAACCCUCCUGCUGGAAGUGGCCCGUCCCCUGUUGUCCCCAUUGUCUUCCUGAUUACAAGGGGUCCUGGGUCCCAUUCCCACUCCUCCCCUUGGGCUCCUUCAGGCCACUCUGCAAAAGGAGCCCGGAGGCCCUUCUAGCUGCAGUCCAUCAGGACUUGCUCACUUAAUCCUCCGGCCACUCAGAGGAGUGGGACCUCCUCCCCAUGUGCUGGAUGAGAAGCUGAGGCCCGAGAUUGGCUGCAUUCCUCGAGGUCUCUAAGCCUGUCCCCAGUGGUUGGCCCCGUCCACUUGGGUGGAAGGGAGGAGGUGCUGAGGACAGGCCUUUUUCGUCCUUACAGAGGUCCUCACACAUCCCUCUCAAGGGCUCAUUAAAACACUCGCUGGGGCUGGGGCUGGGGCUCAGGGUAGAACGUUCACCUAGCACGUGCGAGGCCCUGGGUUCGAUCCUCAGCUCUUGCUCUACCACUGGACCUGGGUUUGACCCCAGCACUGCCCAAACAAGACAACAACAGAAACAAACAGAAAACAUUACUGAUGUUUAGAGUUCCCGGUGCAGGAGGCCUGGGCCUAGAGUUUGCAUUUCUAACCUGCUUCCAGAUGUUGCUGCUGGGGUCCAGGGAUCUGCUAAUUAACAUAUGCCACCUUCACCUGGGCCAGGACCUAGCACUUAGCACCUAAUCUGUGUUCCCUCCUGGACUGCUGGGUCAGUGGUCAGCAGGGGCAGAGGUCCAUGGGGGAGAAGCUCGGGAGAGGGGACUGUGGCCUGGAGAAUCGCUCAGGGAGGCCUCUGGCAGCAGGAGGAGCUGAACUGGCCAAGUCUUCAUGAUCACAUGAGAAGCCCCCAGCCCCAGGCCUCGGGCCAGAGCUGCCUGGAUGGUGUCCAGGCAGAAAUGCAGGGAGAAGCUGGAGGAUUUUCAGCCAUGUCCUGGGCACCUUCUGGCCUUCCCUUCUCAGUUCUCCAUCCCAGCUGCAUGUGAGAGACCCCUGGAUGAUUUAAAAAGUCUGGAGGGGCCGAAGGGGUGGCUUAGUGGUACAGUCUAUGCUUAGCUCCUGGGAGGCCCUGGGUUUGAUCCUCAGUACCUAAACAAAUGAAUUAAAGUCCUCAUGCCCCUGGCUGUGCCUGGACCAACACCUCAGAGAGGCUGGGAGGGGCCAGCUCCUGACGGCUCCUCAGGGUGCUGUUCUCGGAGGCUGGGAACUGGGGGUUCAGUAGCCCUGCCUUUGGGGCUGUGAUGGUCAGGCCACCUCCUGCAGCCCACACCCACAGCACACGGCUCCCACUCACCUCACAGGGCUCAGGCGAGGACAAGGUUGUGUGGAAGGCUUGGUUCUGGCUUCCUGAGGUGCCCUUGUUGACACAGGUUUGAGAGGAUGGGACGGUGAGGAGCCUUCAAGGGAGGGGCUGACAACACCCUCUCAUUGCAGUGAGCCCUUGUGGACAGGGUUGGAAUGGCCUCUCAUGUGGGUGCAGUGUGGCCUCGCAGCCCAUGCCUCUGGGUUCACUCACCUCCCAGCUCUGCCCCUUGUUGACCAUGGCCGGGACCUUUGUGGGCUCCCUAGAUGUGGAGGGCCAAGUGGGUGGCAUGCAGGAGGCACAGCCUAGGGAGAGGGUUCCCAACGACAGCAGUACACCGUUGGGUAAGCAACUUCUGAGCACUCCAGUUGAUGUAUAUUUUGAAAGUUACGUUCAGCCGUCACAUACUAAUAUACGUGUGUAUUAUAAAACUUCCACAGCCACAAAAAAGGAAACUCGGAGGGAUAAGAUAAAAAUAUAGAUGAUAGAAAUUUC